rnacentral:lncRNA from 1 species
CCUUGUUCCUCUGCUCUCUGUUUCUCUCCGUUGCAAGCAGGCUGAAAGAUUGGUCUGAUUUAUUUUCAUCUCUGCUGCCAGGGGCCCUAGGGCAAUGCCAGCGAUCUACAACGUGGCGACAUGAAUGCAGUGACUUAUGAGGACGUGCAUGUGAACUUCACUCAAGAGGAGUGGGCUCUGCUGGAUCCUUCUCAGAAGAAGCUCUACAAAGAUGUCAUGCUAGAGACCUACAGGAACCUCAAUGCUAUAGGUAAG